rnacentral:rRNA from 1 species
AUUGAACGCUGGCGGCAGGCCUAACACAUGCAAGUCGAACGAGUGGCGGACGGGUGAGUAAUGUCUGGGAAACUGCCUGAUGGAGGGGGAUAACUACUGGAAACGGUAGCUAAUACCGCAUACCAUCGGAUGUGCCCAGAUGGGCUUAGCUAGUAGGUGGGGUAAAGGCUAACCUAGGCGACGAUCCCUAGCUGGUCUGAGAGGCUGACAAGCCACACUGUAAAUGAGACACGGUCCAGACUCAUACGGGAGGGAGCAGUGGGGAAAAUUGCACAAGUGGUGCAAGCCUGAUGCAGCCAUGCCGAGUGUAUGAAGAAGGCCUUCGGGUUGUAAAGUACUUUCAGCGGGUAGGAGUUACCCGAAGAAUAAGCACCGGCUAACUCCGUGCCAGCAGCCGCGGUAAUAC